rnacentral:rRNA from 1 species
GACGAACGCUGGCGGCGUGCUUAACACAUGCAAGUCGAACGGAAAGGCCCUGCUUUUGUGGGGUGCUCGAGUGGCGAACGGGUGAGUAACACGUGAGUAACCUGCCCUUGACUUUGGGAUAACUUCAGGAAACUGGGGCUAAUACCGGAUAGGAGCUCCUGCUGCAUGGUGGGGGUUGGAAAGUUUCGGCGGUUGGGGAUGGACUCGCGGCUUAUCAGCUUGUUGGUGGGGUAGUGGCUUACCAAGGCUUUGACGGGUAGCCGGCUUGAGAGGGUGACCGGCCACAUUGGGACUGAGAUACGGCCCAGACUCCUACGGGAGGCAGCAGGGGGGAAUAUUGCACAAUGGGCGGAAGCCUGAUGCAGCAACGCCGCGUGCGGGAUGACGGCCUUCGGGUUGUAAACCGCUUUCGCCUGUGACGAAGCGUGAGUGACGGUAAUGGGUAAAGAAGCACCGGCUAACUACGUG